UACGGAGGGUGCAAGCGUUAAUCGGAAUUACUGGGCGUAAAGCGCACGCAGGCGGUCUGUCAAGUCGGAUGUGAAAUCCCCGGGCUCAACCUGGGAACUGCAUCCGAAACUGGCAGGCUAGAGUCUUGUAGAGGGGGGUAGAAUUCCAGGUGUAGCGGUGAAAUGCGUAGAGAUCUGGAGGAAUACCGGUGGCGAAGGCGGCCCACUGGACAAAGACUGACGCUCAGGUGCGAAAGCGUGGGGAGCAAACAGGAUUAGAUACCCUGGUAGUCCACGCCGUAAAGGAUGUGGACUGGGAGGUGGUGCCCUUGAGGCGUGGCUUCCGGAGCUAACGCGUUAAGUCGACCGCCUGGGGAGUACGGCCGCAAGGUUAAA
rnacentral:rRNA from 1 species